GUAAAGCAACAGAACAAGACAGUUACAGGAAAUACGCACAGACAAAAUUACACUUUUUACAAAGCAGUGUGCGAUAACAGACUCAGUGAAUCUGCCUGUACCCUUU